rnacentral:lncRNA from 1 species
GAGUUAAAGGCACUCGAAUUGUAGGAACACAGAUGAAGGUGAAACUGAAGAAAAUGAGUCUUUCCCCAAAGGAGAAAGAAGAUGGGGAGGAUGAGAUGUCAGAAGAUAAGGAGAGUGGCAGUAGAGAUGAGGUUGUUGUCCUUCAGAAGAAUAGUAGGAAGAUCACUACUGCUCCAGGAAAUAAAAUAAGAAAAAAAAAAGUUUCUCGGAGCCAUUUGCUGAGAAGUUAAUAUCACCACGCAGGAAGGGGCCAAGUUUCCAAAAGACAGGGGGAUUGUCAAGCUCGAGGACCGUGAGAAGAGGGCUGAGAACUCUGGGGAGG